CUGGGUAUUGUAUUAAGAAAUACUUAUGUUGGGACACUGGAUAUUGUAUUAAGAAAUACUUACUUGACACCGGAUAUUGUAUUAAGAAAUACUUAUGUUGGGACGCCAGAUAUUGUAUUAAGAAAUACUUACUUGACACCGGAUAUUGUAUUAAGUAAUACUUACUUGACACCAGAUAUUGUAUUAAGAAAUACUUACUUGAAACCAGAUAUUGUAUUGAGAAAUACUUACUUGACACCAGAUAUUUUAUUAAGAAAUACUUACUUGACACCAGAUAUUGUAUUAAGAAAUCCUUACUUGACACCAGUUAUUUUAUUAAGAAAUGCUUACGCGUUAUCAUUCAUAAGCCGACUUUUGUGACAGCGGGUGUUAUCAAUGAAUGAUUAGGAUAGAAACUACACAUACGUCACAUGAAACUCGAUUAAUAAUGUCACAAAUCAAUUUUGACCAACGUCUAGGGUUGGGAUAUCGUGUUAGGCAGUGAUGAGUUUACCUUUAAGAGCUGAGUCAGCGAGAAUCAUGGUUGGGAUUCCCUUCUGUUAUUACCUAACUUGCCUGGAAGUAUCAUUGUCAGCUGCAGAUUACAAAAUACAUUCACACAUAUAUUUUGUUCAGUGAAGAUAUGUGUCGGCUAUCUACUUCAGAUGGAGAACCAGUGUUUUGUAUAGACCGCAUUUCACAAUCAAUUGGUCCCGUAAAGAAUAGUUUCCUUAAUUGUUUUUGUUAAUGUCGUAUUAACCUGUAUAUGGAGCAACAUACUAGUAUUUUACAAUUAAACUGAAAUUAAACAAC